GGGUUGGGCGGCUCCCAGGGCGAGCGGGCGUCUCUGCGCGGCGCUUCCCUUCCGUAGGAAGUGGGCUAAAAAUAGGAGCCGGAUCCAUGGCUGAGCCCGCCCCCCACCAGGGCUUUGUCCUGCGGCUGUUCCCACGCACACCCUGUCCCGCCGGGGCAGGAGCAGGGUGAGGGGCCCUGGGACAGGGCUCAGCUGCCGGUGCCAAGCCCCAGGUGCUCAGCAGGACCCAGCUCACCUCCUUGACAUCUGUGCUAGCCCUGUCCAGGAGCAGGGAGUAGAGCAUAUCCUUGCCCCCAAUGAAGAGCCGGUCACGGUACUCAUCCAGGUAGAGGGAGCGGAAACCCAGGAAGCCCCGGUGGCCAAAGAAGACAACAGAGCGGAGCCACCACUGGACGCCAAAGCAGAAGGGAAAGCGGGGAGGGAGUGGGAAAGCUGGGGAGAUGGCCACUUCUGCCCACACAGAACAACACUUUCCCCUGUGGCCCACCCCAAACCUCACCCCACAGCUGGAUCCACCAGCCACGCAUGGCACCAACCAACAAGCUGAGCACAAACAGCUCCAGCU